rnacentral:rRNA from 1 species
GGAGUUAGCCGGUGCUUCUUCUGCGAGUAACGUCACAGAUGUAAGGUAUUAACUUACACCCUUUCCUCCUCGCUGAAAGUGCUUUACAACCCGAAGGCCUUCUUCACACACGCGGCAUGGCUGCAUCAGGGUUUUCCCCCAUUGUGCAAUAUUCCCCACUGCUGCCUCCCGUAGGAGUCUGGGCCGUGUCUCAGUCCCAGUGUGGCUGAUCAUCCUCUCAGACCAGCUAGGGAUCGUCGCCUAGGUGAGCCUUUACCUCACCUACUAGCUAAUCCCACCUGGGCUUAUCCAUCAGCGCAAGGCCCGAAGGUCCCCUGCUUUCCCCCGUAGGGCGUAUGCGGUAUUAGCAGUCGUUUCCAACUGUUAUCCCCCACAAAUGGGCAAAUUCCCAGGCAUUACUCACCCGUCCGCCGCUCGUCAUCUUCAAAAGCAAGCUUUUGAAAUGUUACCGCUCGACUUGCAUGUGUUAGGCCUGCCGCCAGCGUUCAAUCUGAGCCAGGAUCAAACUCUGA